UUUCCGUAGGUGAACCUGCGGAAGGAUCAUUAAAAAAUUUGCCCCGUCCUCUCGAGGAUGGGUCCUCUUCUAAACCGUGUAUACAUACCUUUGUUGCUUUGGCGGGCCGCCGUCUCGGCGUUGGCUCCGGCUGACUGUGCCCGCCAGAGAACCCCAACUCUUCUGUUUAGUAUUGUCUGAGUACUAUAUAAUAGUUAAAACUUUCAACAACGGAUCUCUUGGUUCUG
rnacentral:misc_RNA from 1 species